rnacentral:lncRNA from 1 species
AACAACUUGAAACAAGAAAACACUCGAAGAUAUUGAUAUAAAUGGCAGUGAACCUUUAAAACUAAAUGCAACCACAUAGUAACAGGAAUAUUAUCUCAACUUAAAUACCAUGAAAACAAAUGUAGCAAGAUUAAAGAAGAGAGGAACAGAACCUCUCGUUAAACGACAACUCCGAGCCGAUAUACAAAAAUUCCAAACAGAAAUCAUCCAGAAGCGAACAUCAGAACAGGACGCGAACCGAAAUAACCUCGCCAUAAACCUUCAACGAGCUCGAACGCAAACUCUCUUUAAACUUCAACCUUUAUUCAUCCAAAAGAUAUGGAUUUUUAAUAACUUGAAUAAACAGAAACGAACAAGACCAUAAACCAGCCCUCAGACGGAGUAUCAAAAUUCGCCGGCAAACUCGAAAACGGACAGAACGCCGACUGCGUUAGAACAGGGAGAAGCAGGCUGUCUAGGUUGAUUUUGGAGGUCAUUUCAGCUCAUUUUCCGGCGAGCUGUUAUGAACAAGAGGAAGCAGAAACAACGACAUGUGAAGGGUAGCGAACUGUCGUGACUGCGACAGGGAGGGACUAUUGACGACAUUGGAAAACUGGGGUCGUUUCCUGGUUGAGAGUUGUGAAGGUCACAUGGCCGUUAAUAUUGGAGAAGGCUGAUUGAUGGGGUGGUUUCUCGUAUGCGUAUCAAUGGUGAAGGAGGAAGAUGAAGACUUUAGAAGGGGUGUGUGUUUUUUGCUGUGUGAUUGAUUUUCCGGCAAGGGAUUGUGUGGUUGAAGAAGCAGAACCCUN